UACGGGGGGGGGUAAGCGUUGUUCGGAAUUACUGGGCGUAAAGGGCUCGUAGGCGGCCAACUAAGUCGGACGUGAAAAUCCCCAGGCUCAACCUGGGAACUGCGUCCGAUACUGGAUGGCUUGAAUCCGGGAGAGGGAUGCAGAAUUCCAGGUGUAGCGGUGAAAAUGCGUAGAUAUCUGGAGGAACACCGGUGGCGAAGGCGGCAUCCUGGACCAACACUGACGCUGAUGAGCGAAAAGCCAGGGGGAGCAAACGGG
rnacentral:rRNA from 1 species